rnacentral:rRNA from 1 species
UUGGAGGGCAAGUCUGGUGCCAGCAGCCGCGGUAAUUCCAGCUCCAAUAGCGUAUAUUAAAGUUGUUGCAGUUAAAAAGCUCGUAGUUGAACCUUGGCUCUGGCUGGCCGGUCCGCCUCACCGCGAGUACUGGUCCGGCUGGAGCUUUCCUUCUGGGGAACCUCAUGGCCUUCACUGGCUGUGGGGGGAACCAGGACUUUUACUGUGAAAAAAUUAGAGUGUUCAAAGCAGGCCUUUGCUCGAAUACAUUAGCAUGGAAUAAUAGAAUAGG